CACCAGGUUGAUUCUGCCUGACGUGGAUGCUAGUUUCUGAGGUUAAGCCAUGCAUGUUUUAGAAGCGAAUAUAUUGCGGAUUGAUAGACGGCUCAGUAAUACUGCGAUGAUUUGAUUGAUUUGAGAUGUGUAACUACGGGAAACUGUAGGUAGACGCUUGUAGUGUAUGUUAUUAUUAUGUACAUGUGUUGAGUAAGUUGCAGGCCUAUCAACUGGUAGUUAGGGUAAUGGCCUAACUAGGUGGUGACGGGAGACGGGGGAUUAGGGUUUGAUUCCGGAGAGGGAGCCUGAGAGAUGGCUACUACGUCCAAGGAUGGCAGCAGGCGCGAAACUUGCCUAAUCUUUGUAGUAGGAGGCAGUGAUGAGACGUGAUGUGAUUUGUGGUGCAUUGUAAAGAGAUGUACUGGUAUUGGAGGGCAAGUCGGGUGCCAGCAGCCGCGGUAAUACCUGCUCCGAUAGUGUCUAUGGUUAAUGCUGCAGUUAAAAAGUCCGUAGUUUUGAUGAUUGGCUGUAAUGGUUAUGAAGUAUGUUUUGUGAUGCCUGUGGUACUUGCGGGCUAUGGAUGUACUUUAAGUUGUGCGCAACGGAUGAGGGGCAUUGGAUAGUUGGGCGAGAGGUGAAAUGUGAUGACCCUGACUGGACGAACGGAAGCGAAAGCGAUGCUCUUGGAUGGAUGUGUGGAUCAAGGACGAAGGCUGGAGGAUCGAAAUCGAUUAGAUACCGUUUUAGUUCCAGCAGUAAACGAUGCCGACUGGAUGGUGUUUGAUAGCACUGUGCGAGAGAAAUUGAUGAGUAUAUGGGUUUUGGGGAUAGUAUGUUCGCAAGAGUGAAACUUAAAGAGAUU
rnacentral:rRNA from 1 species